rnacentral:tRNA from 1 species
AGGGGAAAUGGCGGACUGUAAAUCCGCUGGCUUACGCCUUCACUGGUUCGAAUCCAGUCCUGCCCA